rnacentral:tmRNA from 1 species
GGGGCUGACUUGGAUUUCGACAGAUUUCUUGUCGCACAGAUAGCAUGCCAAGUGCUACUUGUAAAACAGCAACAAAAAUAACUGUAAACAACACAGAUUACGCUCCAGCUUACGCUAAAGCUGCGUGAGUUAAUCUCCUUUUGGAGCUGGACUGAUUAGAAUUUCUAGCGUUUUAAUCACUCCAUAACCUUAAGCUAGACGCUUUUAAAAGGUGGUUCGCCUUUUAAACUAAGAAACAAGAACUCUUGAAACUACCUCAAGGUUUUAGAAAGUUGGACCAGAGCUAGUUUUAAGGCUAAAAAACUAACCAAUUUUCUAAGCAUUGUAGAAGUUUGUGUUUAGGGCAAGAUUUUUGGACUGGGGUUCGAUUCCCCACAGCUCCACCA